rnacentral:tRNA from 1 species
GAAGGGAUAGCUCAGUGGUAGAGUAAAUGCAUGCCUAUCAUGCAUGAGGUCUUGGGUUCAAUCCCCAGUCCCUCUA